UUAGCGUAAGCUAAAGUUGUUGCAGUUAAAAAGCUCGUAGUUGAAUUUCGGGUAUUUGGUGCCAGUUAAUUUAAAUGAUUAUAUUGGUUGACAGAUCCUCAUUUUGCUGGUUUGCUGUCAAUGCUCUUUAUCGGGUGUCGUCAGUUGCCAGAACGUUUACUUUGAGAAAAUUAGAGUGCUAAAAGCAGGCUAACGCCAGAAUAAAAUUGCAUGGAAUAAUAAAAUAAGAACUCGAUUUUAUUUUGUUGGUUUUAAGAAUUGAGUUAAUGAUUAAUAGGAUCAGAGGGGGGCGUACGUACUGUAGUGUGAGAGGUGAAAUUCUUGGAUCGCUACAGGACGAACAACUG
rnacentral:rRNA from 1 species